rnacentral:lncRNA from 1 species
ACAUUUAAUCACUUCCCACAAGGAGAAGCAGGCUGGGUGUGCUCCAGGCUCCGGAAGCUCCAGCAGCCCCAGAGAUGAGGGUGGUCUGCCCCCCACACUCCCUGCCCCAGCCCAUCCUGGACCUUCUCCUGACACACAGCAAACCACACUUAGCUGUCAUUGAUGAAUCGGAGCCUCUGCCAGACAGCCGGCCAAGCCGACGCUAACUCACCCCACAGCCUGAAAUAGAAACUCGCUCGUUUUCCAGUGUGUGACAAAGAAGGAAGGACAUCAACUGGGAGUGGCCCAGAAGCCCGAAGCUGAGAGGACAAAGCUCACUGGGGUAAGUUAACAUCACUCCAGAUCAGCCCCGGUGAAGUCAGCGAGAAUUGCCUACACCUGAAAAAAUGUGGCAAACUUAUUUGUAAAGCUUAUCUGACACUUUUGUCUAUAUUUGAUACAUUCAGUCCUCCACAAUCUCUACUUUACCAAAAUCCAUGCGGGUGCAUCAUAAAGAGAGAUGCUUGAUGACCAAGUUGUUCUGGACAAAUCAAGCUCAUCUGUUUGCAGCCCCUGUUCCUGGGGAACAAAACCUCCUAGUCAAGAAUCAUCACGCCCAUGGCUACACUACCACAAACACUCCAGUAAAUCAGGUGAACACCCACCCAGGGCUCCAGAGCCUACACACAUGGAACAUUUGUACUUUGGUGACUUCCAUCUUGAAGAUCUACGUGGGCCAAGAGUGAUGCUGACAUUAGCUGCUUCUUUUUCCACGAUCAAGUGGGUUUGGUGAUCAAAUAAGUUAGGAGCCUGGGCAACAUAGUGAGACCCUGUUACUACAAAUAAUACAAAAGUUAGCCAGGUGUGGUGGCGUGUGCCUGUAGUCCCAGUUACUUGGGAGGCUGAGGCAGGAGGUUCACUUGAACCCAAGAAGCAGAGGUUGCAGUGAGCUGAGAUUGCGCCACUGCACUCCAGCCUGGCUGCUAGAGUAAGACCCUGUUUCAAAAAACAAACAAACAAACAAAAAAAAAAAAAAGAAAAAAAAACAGGGAAAUACUGGGCUAACCAAUGACAAAUAAGUAUAUCUAUUGCAGGAAUUACCAAAAAUGUAAUGUGUAUUAGGAGUCUCCAGGGGAUGAAUAGGAGAUGACACAUUUUCCAAAUGUAUUUAACCAUCAAAUGCUCUUAGUAAGAAGCAUCUCCCUGGAACAGUGUCGUCAGAACGCACUUAGAGAAGCCCAAUUUAGACCCCUGUUAAAUUCAGCAAUUUAAUAUGGUGGCCAACACACUGUAGGCCAUCAAUACAAUAUUAAUAGUGUUCCAGGGACCACAUAUUUUGUGCACCAAUAACCUCAGUCUCUGUUUCCUACUCCACUCUCAGGGUUCCCGCUUUCUGUAAUCCCAGCUUGGUCUUGAUCUUUUGGUAUAGGGAAAGGAAAGGAGAGAGGGUCCCAGGAAGGAAGAAACUGGUGGGAUUUUCCAUGGGAAGGUUUGAGAACUACUGUUGCAUCAAGAGGGAGAGAGAAAGCAAGAGGGUGUCCCGGGAGAACGUGGCAGAAUUUGUUUGGAGAGAAGAUUAUGAGAACUGAAAUGUCAGAUGCAGACAGACAAAGAAGAAAGGAGGGAAUAUUGAAAUUGGAACCACAACACUUGGGUAUAUCAGGUUGGAAAAGACAGUUCAACAGAUGGCUGGUCACCUUGAUUGAGUAGAAUGCCACUGGAAGACCACAAAUCUCUAAACCAUAGUGAAGAAUUGGCCAAGGGGAGCAAAAUCCAAUCAAUUCAAGGGGUUCCCCUUUCCAGGGUCUUGGACAGCGAGGUGACAUGAAAUGGCCGUUCUAGUCUAUGCAAUGGCAGCAUGAACACAGAAAGCUGAAACGGGGGAUCAGUUCUGCAGCCAAGAGACAUUAAAGCUCAAAGGUAUAAUCGGAAGCUAGAAUUCAUUCAUUCAACAAAUAUUGACUGAGCAAGCUCUUACUGUGUGUAAUGCCUUUCUUCUCAUAGUUUUUGCACCGCCACCCCCACCCCUUCUCAGUUGCUUUGCCAGAUUUCGAACUCCAGGGGUAUUUAUUCAGUGUAUUGUUUCAAGAAAAGGAAGGUCUUCACAAACAGGUGCAACAGGCCACAGCCUGCCCAGGCGGAGGCUUGCAAGCACCUCUGAUAAAGCAGCAAAAAAACACGGGAGGACAUUUUUUCUUUCAGAUUUUCAUAUACAGAUGUGGAAGAGAUAAG